UGGGGAAUUUUGGACAAUGGGCGAAAGCCUGAUCCAGCAAUGCCGCGUGUGUGAAGAAGGCCUUCGGGUUGUAAAGCACUUUUGUCCGGAAAGAAAUCCUUGGCUCUAAUACAGUCGGGGGAUGACGGUACCGGAAGAAUAAGCACCGGCUAACUACGUGCCAGCAGCCGCGGUAAUACGUAGGGUGCAAGCGUUAAUCGGAAUUACUGGGCGUAAGCGUGCGCAGGCGGUUUGCUAAGACCGAUGUGAAAUCCCCGGGCUCAACCUGGGAACUGCAUUGGUGACUGGCAGGCUAGAGUAUGGCAGAGGGGGGUAGAAUUCCACGUGUAGCAGUGAAAUGCGUAGAGAUGUGGAGGAAUACCGAUGGCGAAGGCAGCCCCCUGGGCCAAUACUGACGCUCAUGCACGAAAGCGUGGGGAGCAAACAGGAUUAGAUACCCUGGUAGUCCACG
rnacentral:rRNA from 1 species